GGCUAACUCCGGGCAAGGCGCGGCGGUAGUCCGUAGGUGGGAAGGGUGGUCCGGAAUUAUUUGGGUGAAAGCGCGGGCAGGCGGCUUCUUAAGUCCAUCUUAAAAGGGCGGGGCUUAACCCCGUGAUGGGAUGGAAACUGAGAGGCUGGAGUAUCGGAGAGGAAAGUGGAAUUCCUAGUGUAGCGGUGAAAUGCGUAGAGAUUAGGAAGAACACCGGUGGCGAAGGCGACUUUCUGGACGACAACUGACGCUGAGGCGCGAAAGCGUGGGGAGCAAACAGGAUUAGAUACCCUAGUAGUC
rnacentral:rRNA from 1 species